GAUUUAUCUAAUAAUUCUUGUACGUUAUCUGACAAAAUAUUUUCUCUAAACUGUUCUAAUUUAUCGUUAUCCCAAAUCAACUUAAACGACUUAUUCCUACAUUUGGAAUUAUGUAACUUUACAUG